GCCCGGAUAGCAUAAUGGUAAUGCCAGCGGCUCAUAACCGCUUCGAUGCAGGUUCAAUUCCUGACCCGGGUACCA
rnacentral:tRNA from 1 species